rnacentral:rRNA from 1 species
GAUGAACGCUGGCGGCGUGCUUAACACAUGCAAGUCGAACGGAAAGGCUCCUGCUUGCAGGGGUACUCGAGUGGCGAACGGGUGAGUAACACGUGGGUGAUCUGCCCUGCACUUCGGGAUAAGCCUGGGAAACUGGGUCUAAUACCGGAUAGGACGAUGGUUUGGAUGCCAUUGUGGAAAGUUUUUCGGUGUGGGAUGAGCUCGCGGCCUAUCAGCUUGUUGGUGGGGUAAUGGCCUACCAAGGCGUCGACGGGUAGCCGGCCUGAGAGGGUGUACGGCCACAUUGGGACUGAGAUACGGCCCAGACUCCUACGGGAGGCAGCAGUGGGGAAUAUUGCACAAGGGGCGCAAGCCUGAUGCAGCGACGCCGCGUGGGGGAUGACGGCCUUCGGGUUGUAAACUCCGUUCGCUAGGGACGAAGCGUUUUGUGACGGUACCUGGAGAAGAAGCACCGGCUAACUACGUG